rnacentral:rRNA from 1 species
GACGUAGGGUGCUAGCGUUGUCCGGAUUUACUGGGCGUAAAGGGCGCGUAGGCGGCCUGUUAAGUGUGAAGUGAAAUCUCCAUCGCUCAACGAGGAAACUGCUUCGCAUACUGGCAGGCUAGAGGAAUGCAGAGGUAAGUGGAAUUCCUGGUGUAGCGGUGACAUGCAUUGAUAUCAGGAGGAACACCCAUGGCGAAGGCAGCUUACUGGGCAUUAUCUGACGCUGAGGCGCGAAAGCGUGGGGAGCAAACAGA